UACGUAGGCAGCGAGCGUUGUUCGGAGUUACUGGGCGUAAAGCGUGCGUAGGCGGUGGUCCAAGUCUGGUGUGAAAUCUCCCGGCUUAACUGGGAGGGUGCGCCGGAAACUGGGCCGCUGGAGUACGGGAGAGGCAAGCGGAAUUCCAGGUGUAGCGGUGAAAUGCGUAGAUAUCGGGAGGAAUACCUAUGGCGAAAGCAGGCUACUGGACCGUCACUGACUCUGAUCUGCGAAAGCUAGGGGAGCAAACAGG
rnacentral:rRNA from 1 species